GUAAAGGCAAUGUUGUCAAGCCUGAUGACCUAAGUGUGAUCCCCUGGAUUUGCAUAAUAGAAGGAGAGAACUGACUUUGACAGGAAAUUUGAAGUACUGCCUUGUGAUUCUUAAUCAGCCUUUGGACAAAUGUUUUCGUCAUCUUUGGAAAAAGGUGAUCCCUGAGCCUUGGGAAGCAGAGGUUUGAAAUAGGU